ACCUGGCCUUGGACACUUCCAGGGAUGGGGCAGCCACAGCUUCUCUGGGCAACCUGUACCAGGGCCUCCCCACCCUCACAGGGAACAAUUUCUUCCUAACAUUCAGUCUAAUUUAAGUAGGUUUAAGUACAAGAACCAAGAAUUUCUUUUGGCCUAAUGUGUGACUGAGCAGUCCAGUCCCUGUGGCUGUUGGUGAACACCCUCAGCACCCGUCGGUGUCAAGCCCUGUCCCUUCUCACGUGUGUUAGUGGUCAAACAUCCUGCAGCAACAACAGUGCCAUGCUACUGUGUGUAAAUAUUUGAGAUGUGUAUAUGGUAGAAUUCACUGUUUCCUGAAGUCAAUACAGUUUACACUGAGUGGACCAUAUUUGCAAACUAUUAGCUCACACCAAGAAAGGGAGUGAAUUGUGAUUUCAUUUGUAUUUAUUGAAUCAUAACUUUAAUAACACACAUUUGGUGGAAUUGAUAAUGAUCCAUAGCUGUGUUUUGGGGUGCAGAUUAUGUUCCUUUGCAGCUCGUGUUUUUGCACAAGGUUGUAAAUCCAGGAAGUAAUUGCUGUCUGGAUACACACUGAAUUUUUAAAAGCAAUCAGAAAACUAAAACUGCCAUCUAAGAAACAGCAGGAAAGAGGAAUGCUUCUAUUUUUCAAGUUUAGCACUUUAUGUUUGCAAUCUAUUUCUCUUAAGUUAUUUAAAAAUGUUUUUAAAAGCAAAGUUUAAUACGUAUGUUCAUAUUUACUGUACAUUGGAAUAAAUGGAUUCUCUUCUGGAAAUUUAAUCUUUUCCUCUAGUAGGCUCAUAAUUUGUACUUUCUGAGAGUGAAGCAUUGUUUUCUUCUUCUGUAUAGUAUCUGGUUUGUAGCCUUGGUGUUCUUACUAUUCCUUUAUUUGUCUGGUUUAUGUAGCAGUUCAUAUCUAACUCUUGUGCUUUGGGACUGUGCUCCAGGUGAUGCUGUAGGGUUGGGUGUGUGUCCCACCUUGUGCUCCUGCUUCCCAUGGCUCCAGGUGAUGCUGUAGGGUUGGGUGUGUGUCCCACCUUGUGCUCCUGCUUCCCUGCUGUAGGGAAGCCAGUGCUCUGUGCUGAGCUGCUGUGGUGGUAAAUUAAUGUGUAGGUUUUCUGACACAAACUGUUUUCUUCUUGCCUUUCUGCAAUAAUUCCACAUGUCACAACCCUCUUCAUCCCUUUUUUCCCCCCUUUCUCUCUGCAUUUGUUUUCUCCAUAGAGCUGGUCCUGUUCAUCUGUGCAAACAUUCAUUUCACUCAGCUCAAGGCACAAUGGAAACACAACGUUCUUUAUUCAACAGCAGCAGCUUAAAUCUGUGCAGGGUCUUAUCAGAAGUGGGCUGAGGAGUGAUGAGUGACAUCCCUGGUGUCCCCUUGGGGUUGAGAACUGUGUGCUGAGGGCUGUAGCUGUGGCUGGGCCAAAUUGAGCAGCACCAAGGGUGUUUCUCUGUGGUCUCCUGAGCUCUCACAGUGAAACGCCGGGACAGCCUCCCUCGUCCUCUGUAGUUGCUGGGGGGAGUUUUGCUGUAGUUGAGCUGGGUUUGUCAGAGAGCCCCAGAGAGCCAGGUGUGUGAAUCCCUAAAGCUGCUCUUUUGGCUUUAGCUGUUGAAGAAAGCUGCUGCAGCCUCUGAUGCAUCAUAAAUCCCUGGUUUGCAAAGUAGUGCCCUGAACCAGGGAUGGGGGCUCACUGUCCUGAGGUCUGUGCAGGGAACUGUUCCCAUGGGAUUGGGUGCAUCUCCACAAUUGCUGGGGCCAGUCCAGUGCCCACUUCAGCAUGAGCUGGAUGGGCUCUUUUAUUUAUUAUUAGUUAUUUAUAAGUAUUAUACUUAUUAUAUACUUAUUUCAUAAGUAUUAAACUAUGAUUUGCAUGAGAUCCUGGGUUUCACAGCUUUGCCAAUAUGGUCCAUUACUACUGCCUACGACAACUUGUGUACUUAUAUGCCUUUGAGAACAUUUUUAAUUGUUAAAAUUGUUUAAGAAAAUCAAUGUUAAGUUAAUUUAAUUUUUAAUGGGGAAAUGGAUUCUGGUGUCAAAAUGGUAUUUACUGUGAUGCCGAUGUUUUGUACCUGUCAUCUAGUUAAACAACGUGUAAAUACUCUUGAGUCAAGAGAAAUAUGAAUGCCAAUUAUUUAUUGUUCUGUGGAGUUAUAUGUUGCAGAUGUGUAAGAACUUUAAAAGGGAAUGUUGUAAAACAAGGUGGAAAAAUAAAUUUUAUGCAACUUCUUUACUUCA